UUAGAUUUACUUGAGGAAAGUCCGAGCUCUUCUAAAAAAAUUCAAAAUUAUUUUUUGAAAAUUGUUAAAGAAUACUUAAUACUAAUUUUGUUGUGAGGAAAGUGCCACAGAAAUAAACUA
rnacentral:ribozyme from 1 species